UAGGAUUUCCAAACUGGAGACAUGAGGUUG
rnacentral:piRNA from 1 species